GUAGAACCUGAGCAAAGGGAAUCUCUGGUGGGGAGCUCUUGUCGCCAGGAUGCCAACUCUUGGCAGAGUCCCGAGAUCAAGGGUUCAUGCGCAGCCUUUUGCUGUUAUCAGGGAGAAGAAGGAAAAAGAACAAAGGACUCAGUCCUGGAAUCUAUUGUCUGUGGUCUGAGAUGUUUGCAGGGGAUCCAGCACAGAGAAGAGCAACAUUAUACUAAGCAACUGCAUACGUCUGCAGGAGAUGACACAAGGCCACCUCUCCUGUGUAGCCCACACUCCAUGUCUGAGCACUGAGUCCAUGGAUGCACCUAUUUAUCCUGAAUGUACUGCCUGCUUUCCAAUGAUUCCAGCAGAGCAGUCAGCACUGGCUGAAAGGCCUGGUCAUGUAUCUCAGUCACCUUGGGACUCCAAAAGGUUCCUUGUCCUUGUGACCCCUAAACAGGCUUGAAGCUCUGCGUGUCCAUGUGGUGACUCCCCUCAGGAAGCUAGUGAUGUUUGCUGCUUACUUAAAAGCUCUUAAAAAUGAAGUGUCAGUGUA